rnacentral:rRNA from 1 species
UGGGGAAUUUUGGACAAUGGGCGCAAGCCUGAUCCAGCCAUGCCGCGUGCGGGAAGAAGGCCUUCGGGUUGUAAACCGCUUUUGUCAGGGAAGAAAUCUUCUGAGUUAAUACCUCGGGAGGAUGACGGUACCUGAAGAAUAAGCACCGGCUAACUACGUGCCAGCAGCCGCGGUAAUACGUAGGGUGCAAGCGUUAAUCGGAAUUACUGGGUGUAAAGCGUGCGCAGGCGGUUUUGUAAGACAGAGGUGAAAUCCCCGGGCUCAACCUGGGAACUGCCUUUGUGACUGCAAGGCUUGAGUGCGGCAGAGGGGGGAUGGAAUUCCGCGUGUAGCAGUGAAAUGCGUAGAUAUGCGGAGGAACACCGAUGGCGAAGGCAAUCCCCCUGGGCCUGCACUGACGCUCAUGCACGAAACGUGGGGAGCGAACAGGAUUAGAUACCCUGGUAAGUCCACGCCCUAAAACGAUGUCAACUGGUUGUUGGGAAGGUUCCUUCUCAGUAACGUAGCUAACGCGUGAAGUUGA